rnacentral:rRNA from 1 species
AUUGAACGCUGGCGGCAUGCCUUACACAUGCAAGUCGAACGGCAGCACGGGUGCUUGCCCCUGGUGGCGAGUGGCGAACGGGUGAGUAAUACAUCGGAACAUGUCCUGUAGUGGGGGAUAGCCCGGCGAAAGCCGGAUUAAUACCGCAUACGAUCUACGGAUGACAGCGGGGGACCUUCGGGCCUCGCGCUAUAGGGUUGGCCGAUGGCUGAUUAGCUAGUUGGUGGGGUAAAGGCCUACCAAGGCGACGAUCAGCAGCUGGUCUGAGAGGACGACCAGCCACACUGGGACUGAGACACGGCCCAGACUCCUACGGGAGGCAGCAGUGGGGAAUUUUGGACAAUGGGCGAAAGCCUGAUCCAGCAAUGCCGCGUGUGUGAAGAAGGCCUUCGGGUUGUAAAGCACUUUUGUCCGGAAAGAAAUCCUUGGCCCUAAUACGGUCGGGGGAUGACGGUACCGGAAGAAUAAGCACCGGCUAACUACGUG